ACGAACGCUGGCGGCGUGCUUAACACCUGCAAGUCGAGCGGAAAGGCCCUGCUUUUGUGGGGUGCUCGAGUGGCGAACGGGUGAGUAACACGUGAGUAACCUGCCCUUGACUUUGGGAUAACUUCAGGAAACUGGGGCUAAUACCGGAUAGGAGCUCCUGCUGCAUGGUGGGGGUUGGAAAGUUUCGGCGGUUGGGGAUGGACUCGCGGCUUAUCAGCUUGUUGGUGGGGUAGUGGCUUACCAAGGCUUUGACGGGUAGCCGGCCUGAGAGGGUGACCGGCCACAUUGGGACUGAGAUACGGCCCAGACUCCUACGGGAGGCAGCAGUGGGGAAUAUUGCACAAUGGGCGGAAGCCUGAUGCAGCAACGCCGCGUGCGGGAUGACGGCCUUCGGGUUGUAAACCGCUUUCGCCUGUGACGAAGCGUGAGUGACGGUAAUGGGUAAAGAAGCACCGGCUAACUACGUG
rnacentral:rRNA from 1 species